rnacentral:rRNA from 1 species
CCUACGGGAGGCAGCAGUGGGGAAUAUUGGGCAAUGGGCGAAAGCCUGACCCAGCCAUGCCGCGUGAAUGAAGAAGGCCCUAGGAUUUUAAAAUUUUGUCUUUUUGGAAGAAAAAAAUGACGGUACCAUAGGUGGAAGCCCAGGCUGACUACGUGCCAGCAGCCGCGGUAAUCCGUCGGGGGCGAGCGUUGUCCGGAAUUACUGGGCGUAAAGAGUGCGUUGGCGGCACUACAAGUCUCAGGUGAAAUACCCGGGCUUAAAUUGGGGAUUGCAGGGGAAACUGGAGAGCUUGAGUACAGGAGAGGUAAGCGGAAUGCGUGGUGUAGCGGUGAAAUGCAUAGAUAUGAGGAAGAACACCAGUGGCGAAGGCGGCUUGCUGGACUAAAACUGACGCUGAGGCUCGAAAGCGUGGGGAGCAAACAGGAUUAGAUACCCGUGUAGUC